rnacentral:rRNA from 1 species
GGAUCCAGACUUUGAUCCUGGCUCAGGAUGAACGCUAGCUACAGGCUUAACACAUGCAAGUCGAGGGGCAGCAUGAAAGGAACUUCGGUUCUUUUUGAUGGCGACCGGCGCACGGGUGCGUAACGCGUAUCGAACCUGCCUCAUACUCGGGGAUAGCCUUGCGAAAGUAAGAUUAAUACCCGGCGGUCUCGGAUGGCCGCAUGACUAUCCGAGUGAAGAUUUAUCGGUAUGAGAUGGCGAUGCGUCCCAUUAGCUUGUUGGUGAGGUAACGGCUCACCAAGGCAUCGAUGGGUAGGGGUUCUGAGAGGAAGGUCCCCCACAUUGGAACUGAGACACGGUCCAAACUCCUACGGGAGGCAGCAGUGAGGAAUAUUGGUCAAUGGACGAAAGUCUGGACCAGCCAAGUAGCGUGCAGGAAGACGGCCCUCUGGGUUGUAAACUGCUUUUAGUUGGGAAUAAAAAGAGGGACGUGUCCCUUAUUGUAUGUACCAUCAGAAAAAGGACCGGCUAAUUCCGUGCCAGCAGCCGCGGUAAUACGGAAGGUCCAGGCGUUAUCCGGAUUUAUUGGGUUUAAAGGGAGCGCAGGCGGCGGCGUAAGUCAGUUGUGAAAUCGUGCGGCUUAACCGUGCAAUUGCAGUUGAUACUGCGUCGCUUGAGUGCACACAGGGAUGUUGGAAUUCAUGGUGUAGCGGUGAAAUGCUUAGAUAUCAUGAAGAACUCCGAUCGCGAAGGCAUAUGUCCGGAGUGCAACUGACGCUGAGGCUCGAAAGUGUGGGUAUCAAACAGGAUUAGAUACCCUGGUAGUCCACACAGUAAACGAUGAAUACUCGCGGUUGGUUCGUUAGAGUCAGCCGCCAAGCGAAAGCGUUAAGUAUUCCACCUGGGGAGUACGCCGGCAACGGUGCAACUCAAAUGAAUUGACGG